GGGGCUCGAACUCACGAACCGUGAGUGACCUGAAGUGAAGUCAGACGCUUAACUGACUGAGCCACCCAGGCGCCCCUACGGCUGUUAUUUUAGAAUGCACUGAAGUUUAAUCAGAUGAGACUUUUGAGCCUUCCCUCCAUCUUUCCCAAGACCACCUGCGUCCUGUCCUAUGAUGUCUUUCUGUUCCUUUCCUUGUUCCUCGUGAAAGGAAAAUAAGAAGUUACCAUGAGUUUGAUAUUUAGAUACACAGAGAAGGAUUUCUUAAGCCCAAGAUGAUGUUUAAAUUGCAUCAGUGAAUAAAAUCCAAGGCUCAAGAGUUCAACCGCUCAUAAAACUGAUUUAGAAAAAGAGAAGUCCAGAAGCUGACACCAUUAUUGUUAAGCUGAGGCUGUUUAACUUUUGAAGAGCUUCUGAGUGUAUUUAAUCAUUCCCAAUAGAGUUCUCCACUCUGGCUUCCUAUUGUGGUUGGAAAAAAGAGCCAUGAGUGAAGAAAUAAAAAAUCCUAUAGUUGGUACGUGUGUUUUCUGGCCAUCUAAAUAAAAACGUUUGCUGUUUCUCUGUUUUCUAAAGUGAAAUUCUUCUCGGGAGUUGUCUGGUGGCGGGACAUGCUGAGGGGUAUUUGUUGUGCCCUGGUGGGAUAAGAGGAUAACAACUCUGCCCAGAAUCUUCUUUUCUAAUCAGUGAGAAUUCUGAGGUUGAGUGAAGGGCCAGUUUGUGAAACUGUCUUCCUGAGCCUUCACCCUGUAGCUGAAACCACCCUCAUCGUCCUUAUGGCAAACACUGGAUUCCUGCUGGAUUCAGAGCCAGGGCCUUCAAACUGCUGUAUAUGAGUUGAAAGUGGCUUCCUCAGGCAUGGAAGUCACUGUUCAUUGGGAGAACCAAGCAUACACGGCUCAUGGUUUUACUUUAUUUGCUUUCUCUUUCCCUCUGAAGACGCUCAGUGGGUUUCUGGGAAAGUAAACUCCAGAUCCCACACAAUCUGCUUCAGAAGGACCCAUCCGGUUUUUCCAGGAGGGGGCACUGUGGAGCCCCAUGUAGGCUCGCUGCAGUGCAAUGGUAAUUUUCCUCCUCGGCUCUGAAGCAAGAGCCAGAGGGCCAGUUGCCUCUUUCCCAGGCCAACACCAGCUGUUGCCUUGGUUUUCAAGAAGGGAAGCCCUACUGCUUUGAUUAUUUACAUUUCAAGCGACCUGGAGUUGUUAAGUCACUGAGGGGACCAGAGCUCCCUGGCACUCAGGGCUAUCCUUGACACCACGGGCUGAGGUUGAGAGUGAGUUGACAGCAAUCGCCAUUUACCAUCCUGGUCCUGGGUCCUUGUCCACGUCAUCAACCACCUGGCUUCUCCGUGAGAGUCAUCAGCGCUGAUUGAAAAACAUUUGCUGGUUCCAGAGCUCGGGGCACCAGAAUGUUCCAGUAACGAGACGCUUUGCAUAAAACGGCUUCCGGCAGCCAGUGUUGCCCAGUGGUUAAGGGGUGUGUUUUACACUCAGAAAGACCCAAGCAAAAUUUCCCGUUCCACCACUUGUGAGCAGCGUCACUUCAGGGAAAUUCAUUAACUUUCUCCGAGACUCGGUUUGUUUCUCCAUUACAUAGGCACGAUACCACCCACUCGACGGGGUUGGGAAAAGAUUGAGGCGGGAUGUGUGUGAAGCAGUCUGGCUGGUGUCUGGGACGUGGCAGACGCCCUGUAGUGGUGACUGUCCUUGGAAUGGCAUUACCGUACUGCUGAACUUAGCGGAGUGUAUCCAUCAUUCUCCUGGCUUUGCACAUUGGAUUGCUAACACUCAGCGCAUACCUGCAGGUAUGUUUGCUAAUUCGUUCUCCCAGAGGCCCCUGGUGAUAAGAUUAGAAAGUGGGUCCUGGCCGUCUUUGAUCUUCUGAGCGGUGUAUUUGCACUAGCGUAGGUUUGAAGACUUUUCUCCUAUGUGCUUUUAACCCCUGAACUCACAACACUGCUGACUCGAAACGCAUGGUGACUUUUCCAGCGUGCCUCCAACUCUCCGACACCAGCCGGGUGCCCUACGAUGCCAUUCCAUUCUGACACCAUCUACCUGGAGUUGGCGUCACUCCCAUAAGCUAAGGGCUCGGUCCCACCAAACUGCGCCCACCUCAGUGCCGGUUGGAAGCCCGUGUUGCGCUUCUCCCUGAUUGGCCGAACAUCCGGGGGGUUUGCACAACCCCCGCCUCAGGUUUGAUAAUGUGCUGGGACGACUCGAAGAACUCAGGGGAACACUUUCCUUACGUUUUCCAGUUUAUUGUAAAGGAUACCGCUCAGCAGAAGACAGAAGAGGUGCAUCGGGGCAAGGUACUGGGGAAGGGACCUGGUACCCUCUCUGGGUGCACCACCCUCCCAGCCCUUGGAUGUGCUCACCAACCCAGAAGCUCCCGAAGCAUCAUUUAGGGGUUUCUGUAGAGGUUUCCCUACAUACAGCUGAUUAAAUCGCUACCCAUUGGUUGUUAACUCUGUCCAGCUCCUCCCUCUCCCCAGAGGUUGAGGGUUGGGGCCGAGACAUAAAUAAGUAAAACAUAAAAAAUCAUAUGCAGCUGAGUGCCGUAAGGUUUCUAUAUGAUUAUUUUCAAGGGAAAUCAAGUCUUUUAGAGAGACUUCUGUGUUUUGGGGUCUUUUUUUUAAUGUUAUCUCUGCUAAAUUUUCAUGGGACUCUGACUUUUCAGGGAUGCACCUGUAUGAUAUUGUGGCAGCAGUAAGCCCUAUGAAGGCACUGUUCUGUAAAGGUAGAGAGUUUAUCCGUAACAGAGGUAUUCGUGAUGCGUGAAGUCCAUACUGGUUAGACACAGACGAGAUUAAAAUACCCCAAACUAUAACACCUAUUCUCCCACUAGCCAGCGAUAAAUAUCUUUGCCAUUGGUGUAUUUCAUUUCAGACUAAAUGCAUAUUUACUUAUCCAUACAUUUUUACUAAAAAUGGAAGCAUUACCUACAGAUUGUCUUAUAAACUAAUUUUUGACUCGACAAUGGGUUGUGAACCUCUGUUAAUAAGUAAAUGUAUACACUUAUUUAAUCGCA